rnacentral:rRNA from 1 species
GACGAACCGUGCGAACGUUAUUCGGAAUCACUGGGCUUAAAGCGCGUGUAGGCGGAUGGGAACGUCGGUAGUUGAAAGCCCCCGGCUCAACCGGGGAAGUGGUGCCGAAACGACCCGUCUGGAGGGACGUAGGGGGACCUGGAACUUCCGGUGGAGCGGUGAAAUGCGUUGAGAUCGGAAGGAACGCCCGUGGCGAAAGCGAGGUCCUGGACGUCUACUGACGCUGAGACGCGAAAGCGUGGGGAGCGAACAGG